AUGCACGCUGGCGGCGUGCCUAAUACAUGCCAGUCGCGCGAACAGAUAAGGAGCUUGCUCCUUUGACGUUAGCGGCGGACGGGUGAGUAACACGUGGGUAACCUACCUAUAAGACUGGAAUAACUCCGGGAAACCGGGGCUAAUGCCGGAUAACAUUUAGAACCGCAUGGUUCUAAAGUGAAAGAUGGUUUUGCUAUCACUUAUAGAUGGACCCGCGCCGUAUUAGCUAGUUGGUAAGGUAACGGCUUACCAAGGCAACGAUACGUAGCCGACCUGAGAGGGUGAUCGGCCACACUGGAACUGAGACACGGUCCAGACUCCUACGGGAGGCAGCAGUAGGGAAUCUUCCGCAAUGGGCGAAAGCCUGACGGAGCAACGCCGCGUGAGUGAUGAAGGUCUUCGGAUCGUAAAACUCUGUUAUUAGGGAAGAACAAAUGUGUAAGUAACUGUGCACGUCUUGACGGUACCUAAUCAGAAAGCCACGGCUAACUACGUG
rnacentral:rRNA from 1 species